rnacentral:lncRNA from 1 species
GAGCAAUACCAGGCUGACACGCCCCACCACGGAGCUUCCCAAACCCAACAGGCAGGGGAAUCUCCGGCACAGUAGAGUUUCCUAGUGGGUAGGAUACCAGGACCCUGACUCAGCUCUAGGCAUCUCCCUGCAGCUUUUGCCUAGCCAGGAUACAUCCAAAGUACUCCAAGCUUGAAAGAGAGUAUGAGGCUGCACUCCCACCCCUCUGCCCAGGACCAAGGAGCAGAAAUGUGGCUAUUGCCUCUUGCAGCUCUUGUCUGUGCUGGAUCUGUGUCCCUACCCCUUAAACAGCCCUGAGUAGAGCUGUGUCACAAAACAGCAACUGUGGGUACCUUGGAACUGAAGUCCAUGGAGGAGUUGAGGCAUCGCUUUCUCAAAAGGAGCAACAACAUUCCAUUUACAUGUAACAGUGGCCUAGUGGGGAAGGUUUCUUUUAACAAACGAUAGUGCUUUUU